GGGACCACAGCUGGGAGAGCACCUGCCUUACAAGCAGGGGGUCACAGGUUCGAGCCCUGUUGGUCCCACCA
rnacentral:tRNA from 1 species